GCUCCCUUAGGUCAGCGGCGGACGGGUGAGUAACACGUGGGUAACCUGCCUGUAAGACUGGGAUAACUCCGGGAAACCGGGGCUAAUACCGGAUGCUUGAUUGAACCGCAUGGUUCAAUCAUAAAAGGKGGCUUUUAGCUACCACUUACAGAUGGACCCGCGGCGCAUUAGCUAGUUGGUGAGGUAACGGCUCACCAAGGCGACGAUGCGUAGCCGACCUGAGAGGGUGAUCGGCCACACUGGGACUGAGACACGGCCCAGACUCCUACGGGAGGCAGCAGUAGGGAAUCUUCCGCAAUGGACGAAAGUCUGACGGAGCAACGCCGCGUGAGUGAUGAAGGUUUUCGGAUCGUAAAACUCUGUUGUUAGGGAAGAACAAGUACCGUUCGAAUAGGGCGGCACCUUGACGGUACCUAACCAGAAAGCCACGGCUAACUACGUGCCAGCAGCCGCGGUAAUACGUAGGUGGCAAGCGUUGUCCGGAAUUAUUGGGCGUAAAGCGCGCGCAGGCGGUUUCUUAAGUCUGAUGUGAAAGCCCCCGGCUCAACCGGGGAGGGUCAUUGGAAACUGGGGAACUUGAGUGCAGAAGAGGAGAGUGGAAUUCCACGUGUAGCGGUGAAAUGCGUAGAGAUGUGGAGGAACACCAGUGGCGAAGGCGACUCUCUGGUCUGUAACUGACGCUGAGGCGCGAAAGCGUGGGGAGCGAACAGGAUUAGAUACCCUGGUAGUCCACGCCGUAAACGAUGAGUGCUAAGUGUUAGAGGGUUUCCGCCCUUUAGUGCUGCAGCAA
rnacentral:rRNA from 1 species